rnacentral:lncRNA from 1 species
UUACAACACCAUAGGGUAUACGCACCCAGGGCCCAAUACGCUCAAUACUCUAAUGGGGGAGCUCACGAGGUGGGGUGUAAGGAGAAGGAGGGGUAUCACUAGUAAAAAUUGGGCCUAAGGUCCAGUCUACAAACUGGAGGAAAACCGGGUGUACGAAAGCAAAUGAGGGUGCAAACAGGAGAAAGAGCCCAUAAGCCCAAAGGGUAAAAAACCCUAGUAUCCAUAAGAGAGAGGUGAAAUAGGG